ACUUAAAUAGUUUAAUAAAAUAAUGAUUUGUGGUAUCAUAGAUAUAAUUUUGAUUAUUUUAAGUU
rnacentral:tRNA from 1 species